UACGUAGGGUGCGAGCGUUGUCCGGAAUUACUGGGCGUAAAGAGCUCGUAGGUGGUUUGUCGCGUUGUUCGUGAAAACUCACAGCUUAACUGUGGGCGUGCGGGCGAUACGGGCAGACUGGAGUACUGCAGGGGAGACUGGAAUUCCUGGUGUAGCGGUGGAAUGCGCAGAUAUCAGGAGGAACACCGGUGGCGAAGGCGGCUCUCUGGGCCUUACCUGACGCUGAGGAGCGAAAGCGUGGGGAGCGAACAGG
rnacentral:rRNA from 1 species